rfam:Nematostella vectensis strain CH2 x CH6 NEMVEscaffold_8032_Cont54014, whole genome shotgun sequence.
UCUACGGCCAUACCACUGAGAAAGCACCGGUUCUCGUCCGAUCACCGAAGCUAAGCUCAGUAGGGCGCGGUUAGAACUAUGGAAUAGCCUACCUAGGGCAGAAAGAU